rnacentral:rRNA from 1 species
UAAGGAAUAUUGGACAAUGGUCGCAAGACUGAUCCAGCCAUGCCGCGUGCAGGAAGACGGCCCUAUGGGUUGUAAACUGCUUUUGUACCAGAGAAAACCUAUCUACGUGUAGAUAGCUGAUAGUAUGGUAAGACUAAGCAUCGGCUAACUUCGUGCCAGCAGCCGCGGUAAGACGAAGGAUGCAAGCGUUAUCCGGAUUCAUUGGGUUUAAAGGGUGCGUAGGCGGGCUUGUAAGUCAGUGGUGAAAUCUCUCAGCUUAACUGAGAAACUGCCAUUGAUACUGAAGGCCUAGAGUAUAGAUGACGUUGGCGGAAUAUGACAUGUAGUGGUGAAAUACUUAGAUAUGUCAUAGAACACCGAUUGCGAAGGCAGCUAACGAAACUAUAACUGACGCUGAGGCACGAAAGUGCGGGGAUCAAACA